CCAGAGCUGGGGGCUGGAGGUACUUCUUCCUCCUCAGCCUGUCUGGGCAUGGAGCCAGGGCUGGGGCCGGGAGGCAUACUAGGACAUUCCUCAGCGUUCGGAAGCAGAUAAGAAGGCCCCGGCUGCGGUGAAAGCGGGCGAGACACAACAGGAAAUGUCUUCAGAGGAAAACCAAGAAAGGCCAGUUGCCUCUUGGAAAAAGCGACUUUGGGAUCCCUAUUUAAGCCUUCCGUCGGGUUUUAAGGCUAUUGGUGAGACAACCUGCGGCUGCUUUUCCAAAAAAAAUCAUUUAGAGCUUCGUCAAGAUCCUGGCCUCCCUUGCGAACUUCAGCCUUACCCUUUGGAGUCAAGACUAUGAAUGGAACAGCUCCUGCCGUGGACGGUGAGAUGGGGCCGCUGGGAUUUAGUCCUCUUUUUCUUGCUACGCUUCUUCUUCUUCUGUCGAGGCUGCUUAAUGAUCUGGGCUGAGUUGGGCUCCACGGUGGUAGGUUUCUUGUCCUUCAUCAGGGCAAUCCUGGAUGGACUUCUCUGCCGUGUCUUGGUUCCCAUGGGCCUGUUGACACAAGGGGAGGAAGGAACGAACCGAGUUUAAGGUUUUCGAUGGCCCUUCUGAUUCCAAUGUACUUCAUCUGAAGUUCCUAAGGCUCCAGCCUCUGGUGUCUCAACAGGCUAAUGCAGUCUGUUAUUAACGGCAGCAGCCUGCAAUUACUGCAGGUUCAAGCCCCACCAGGCCCAAGGUUGACUCAGCCUUCCAUCCUUUAUAAGGUAGGUAAAAUGAGGACCCAGAUUGUUGGGGGCAAUAAAAGUUGACUUAGUAUAUAAUAUACAAAUGGAUGAAGACUAUUGCUUGACAUAGUGUCAGCCGCCCUGAGUCUUCGGAGAAGGGCAGGAUAUAAAUGCAAAUAAAAAAAAAACUGCUGAUGAAGGUUAGUGGGAGUCACUGUGUAGGGGAACAAUUCCUGCUCCUACCACCAGAUUACCCGGAUGCAUCGUUUCUGCAAUAGCGAUAGCCCAUAGACUUAUAUACUGCUUCGCAGUGCUAUGCAGCCCUCUCUAAGCAGUUUACGGAGUCAGCCUCUUGUUCCCAACUAUCUGGGUCCUCGUUUCACCGACCUCGGAAGGACGGAAGGCUGAGUCAACCUUGAACUGGUUCAGGAUCGAACUGGCAGUGAGCAGAGUUAGCCUGCAAUAUUACAUUCUAACCACUGCGCACCAUGAAAGGAAGGAAAGAAAGGAAGGAAGGUGGAGAGGAAGGAAGGAGUAAGAAAGUAAGUGAAGGAAGGAAGGAAAGAAGGAAGAGAAGGAGAAAAGCAAUAGCAAUAGCAUUUAGACAUAUAUACCACUUCACAGUGCUUAUCCUGCCCUCUCUAAGCGGUUUACAGAGCCAGCCUAGUGCCCACAACAAUCUGGGUCCUCAUUUUACCCACCUUGGAAGGACGGAAGGCUGAGUCAACCUUGAACUGGUCAGGAUCGAACUCCUGGCAGUGAGCAGAGUUAACCUGCAAUAUUACAUUCUAACCACUGUGCACCAUGGAAGGAAGGACAGGAAGGAAGGAAGGAAGGAAGGAAGGAAGGAAGGAAGGGAAGGAGAAAAGGAAGAGCAAUAGCAAUAGCAUUUAGACAUAUAUACCAUAUAUACCACUUCACAGUGUUUUUCCUCUCCUCUCUAAGCAGUUUACAGAGUCAGCCUCUUGCCCCCAACAAUCUGGGUCCACAUUUUACCCACCUCAGAAGGAUGGAAGGCUGAGUCAACCUUGCACCUGGUGAGAUUCGAUCUGCCAAAUUGCAGGCAGCCGGCAGUCAGCAGAAGUAGCCUGCAGUACUGCACUCUAACCACUGUGCCACCGUGGCUCACAAACCUUUGCAGGUUUGGAGAACACCAAGCCAGGGUGGGCCGAAUGAACAUUUCUUCCACCAUUCCCCCUUCACCUCACUCUAAUAAAAUCUCGGUUGUAGCUGAAUAUGCCACUCUAUCCCCAACAGGGAAGCCAAACCCAAUUUUUGCUAAUCUAGCUCGGUUCUGAUUGUGGAAAUUCUAGGUGGACUAAAUUGCAUGGUUCAUCUGAAUUGGGCAAAACACUCUGGCUUGCUCUUAACCUUUGCAUGUCCUUUAAAACUUGAUUAGGACAAAGAGAAAGAAUUGAUUUUCAUCCUCCGUGCACUUACCAUCUUGAUCUAAAGCUGAGUAAGACAGGAAUCGCCCACCUUUUAGCGUUUCUCCUAGCCUUCCUCAAUGCUGUUGCGGCGGCUUUUCUAGAGUUAAACCUUACGUAUAUUGGGUGAAACGGCUUUGUGAAAUUGUGUGUAGGCUCCUGAGUUCGUUAGAUAAUACCCAGCGGUGGGAUUCAAGUAAUUUAACAACCGGUUCUCUGCCCUAAUGAUUUCUUCCAACAACCAGUUCACCAAACUGCUCAGAAAGUUAACAACCGGUUCUCCCGAAGUGGUGCGAACUGGCUGAAUCCCACCACUGAUAAUACCCCUUCGAUCGGCGUUAUCUAAAAUUGAAUUAUUCUGCUUUCCUGCUCCCCAACAUAAAAAUUCUGUAUAAAUUGGAUUUUUUAAAAAAAAUUAGUUUCCCACUUUUUGGUAAAACCAGGAAUUUUCAAACUGAGGUUGACUAAACCUCAGUGGCCGGAUUGACAGUACUUUAACCCCCAGCCAAUCAACUCGUUUAAAAGAGAGGUGAAAUGACCAUUCCUGAUCUAAAUCUUUUUAAGAUCCCAUAAUCGAAUCCUUUCAAGUCGAAUCUUGAAAAGACUACCCAGCGCAAAAAUGAACAGAUGGGACGCCUAAGAUGAAUCUCCGUAAACAAGAGGAAACAAGAGUUUUGACUGUCGCCGGAACAGAACAGAAUAACAGAGUUGGAAGGGACCUUGGAGGUCUUCUAGUCCAACCCCCUGCUCAGACCGAAAACCCUAUAGCAUUUCAGACAAACGGCUGUCCAAUCUCUUCUUAAAAAAAACUCCAGUGAGGAGCAUCCAUGACUGCUGAAGUUCUUCCUUCAUCCAGAGGGAAUCUCGACGGAAGAGCAGAGCAAGAAAAAUGCUUUUGUCUCGUGGGCGUGCAUCUCCUGCGAAGAAGCAUCAAUGCAUAAAACAUCACCGGUGAAGGAUGGAGACCGCGAGGAGCUUGCGGCAGCUUGGAGGCUGAGGAGAAACCGGAGGUGAGCCGAGCAAGCCAUGGUCUCCCGUCGCACGAUUUUGCUCACUGGCUUCACAACUGGCCGGCAUCAUCGCCCCCGUGGAGUGGCUGCUCGCCAGGGGCUGAAUUUGGGGACGGAAAGGAGAAAUUGCUAGCCAAGAUCGUCCUUCUCUGGACCGCCAGCAUCCAUGACCCCCAGGCCCAAUGAAGCGGGCUCUGAGGAGCCACAGAUGGACCCAGCUGUCCUCAUCUUUCUCCUGUAUCUGAUGAUCAUCCAUGAGCUGGUGAGUGGCUGGAUGGAAUACCAGAAGCAGGCCACCAAGCCGAAGAAGCAGGCUGGUCCUCCAUGGUCAGGCAGCAUCUCUUCCCAAGGAAACCGUUCAAGCGUGUCUCACUCAUUGGCUUAUCCAGUGCCACGAGAGCGAUCCAAGGACUGGAGGAAGCCAGGCAGAAUCAUCCGGAAAGCGUAAAACCGACUUCACGAUCUCAAUCCACCAGGUCUCGGCUAAGGAAGCUGUCAAGAACGGCCAACUGGAGAUCUCCACACUGAUCCUGGCUGUGCGGCUGUUCUGUCUAACUGCGAUUGAAUUCGGAGCGUCUUCCAAACAGCUUCGCAUUGUAGAUCCAAGAUCAGACAGCGCACCUGAGCUCACCGAAUGAAACAGGUAUCGGUAAAUAGCGGAGUACAGUUGACAUGGCGCUUUUAGCCUCAUCCAGAGGAACCAAUGAACCAAUCCUCACAGUGGAUAAGCAUUGUAUCUUCUCAAGCAUGUGGCAGAACGAAGAAGACUGCUUGAAUGGAUGACCGUGGAACAGACCAAGUGUUGUGGCCCGCCGGCGGCCAGCGGAGCUGGCAGCAGAGUCGGACAAUGAGGAGGUUGGAAAGGAACUUGGGCCCAUUCUGGGGGCUGGGGAAAGCUCAGACAAGGGCUCUGCGUCUGAGGCAGAGAGGGAGUUAGACAGCAGGAAGGCAGAGGAACAGCUGGAGCUUGUUCCCAGUGUGUGCAUGCACAGAAGACAAGAACAACUCAGAAAGCAGGGUCGACUCAGGAGUAAAGCCACACCUUGGAGGUGAUUGGCCCCUGCCAUAGGAAACAAAAGAGGAGCGAACAGGGAUGGGACUUUUGCAAGAAACAAUUCGUUCAUUCCGUGACUCUGAGAGACUCUGUACCAAGUUUUGCCUUGUACUGCGGUUGGAAACAAGUUAUGUGGCAGCUUGCCACAAGAGAUAAGGUCUGUGUUGAUAGAUAUUCCUUUGAAAAACUGUUUGGACAAGACUUGCUGACUGUGACUGAACGUAAUUCACAGUCGUGUAAAAUAAAAAAGGUUUUGCCGGGACCAAUUCCUGCCUCCUGCUUGUUAAGGGAGCCUAGGUCAGAAUACCAAGAUGGACAAAGAAAGGGAUGCAAGAAAGCACUAAGUCCCUGAAGAAAUUAGAGUAUUAAAACAUUGGGAGGUGGCAGUGGAAGUUGAGGUACAGGGGGGGUGACCUCAAGAUGUAGGUGACACAGGGAUUGACUAGUGGAAGGAGAAGAUGAAGAGCACGGGAAUUAACAUAGUGCCAAGGAAGAAGUUAUGAAGAAGUCUGCCAGGACAGAAACAUCUCCGUUCUCCUCUGUUAACCCUAGUAAUUGUAAUCAUCCUUGGUUUGGGCAACCAUCAACCACUGGAGCAAUUCCUAUCCAAACUUCUCUUCUCAGCACUCUUCUACCUGGUAGCAACUUCUGAUCCUCCUCAGCUUCCCUUCUUCUUGUCCUCUUUGAAGAAACUCCUAUUGAGUGUUCAAACUUUCUACAAGACCUGCUAUUCUUCUCCACCCUCAAGACCUCGACCAUCAAUGACUUGCCGAUGUGUUUUUGAGGACUCACCCAUCCAUCAGAGCUGUCUGUCCAUCAUGUCCUUGAUCUUAUAGACUCGUCCCUGAGAUCUCUUCCUUCUUUUGUUUAGCAUCUCCUUGACUUCCUGUCAAGAGAUUUAUGUUGCCGAAUGUCAGUUUUGAAUACCAACCCGAUGCAGACGAUUGCUGUCAUCGUUGUCAUCUUUGCCGUGUGCUUUCAUUCUGCUUUGUCAGAGCCAUGGUUGCAAAUGGGCCGUAAUAGCUCAGGCUGUUAGAAGCCUGUUAUUAGAACACAGCAGCCUGCAAUUACUGCAGGUUCAAGCCCGGCCCGAGGUUGACUCAGCCUUCCAUCCUUUAUAAGGUAGGUAAAAUGAGGACCCAGAUUGUUGGGGGGGCAAUAAGUUGACUUUGUAAAUACACAAAUAGAAUGAGACUAUUGCCUUAUACACUGUAAGCCGCCCUGAGUCUUCGGAGAAGGGCGGGAUAUAAAUGUAAAUAAAUA